rnacentral:rRNA from 1 species
CCUACGGGGGGCUGCAGUGGGGAAUAUUGGACAAUGGGGGGAACCCUGAUCCAGCCAUGCCGCGUGUGUGAAGAAGGCCCUCGGGUUGUAAAGCACUUUCAGUGAGGAAGAACGCCUGGUGGUUAAUACCCAUCAGGAAAGACAUCACUCACAGAAGAAGCACCGGCUAACUCCGUGCCAGCAGCCGCGGUAAUACGGAGGGUGCGAGCGUUAAUCGGAAUUACUGGGCGUAAAGCGCGCGUAGGUGGCUUGAUAAGCCGGUUGUGAAAGCCCCGGGCUCAACCUGGGAACGGCAUCCGGAACUGUCAAGCUAGAGUGCAGGAGAGGAAGGUAGAAUUCCCGGUGUAGCGGUGAAAUGCGUAGAGAUCGGGAGGAAUACCAGUGGCGAAGGCGGCCUUCUGGACUGACACUGACACUGAGGUGCGCAAGCGUGGGUAGCCAACAGGAUUAGAUACCCCGGUAGUC